UAUGUGAUCGUCUCUCGCAUAUCAAUAAGCGGAGGAAAAGAAACUAACAAGGAUUCCCCUAGUAACGGCGAGUGAAGCGGGAAGAGCUCAAAUUUGAAAUCUUAAAGGGUUUCCCUUUACGAAUUGUAGUUUAAAGAAGUGUUUUCUGUUGAGGUUUUGGUAAAAGUUCUUUGGAAUAGGACAUCAUAGAGGGUGAGAAUCCCGUAUUUGACCUUUACUUUCAACUUUGUGAUACACUUUCAAAGAGUCGGAUUGUUUGGGAAUGCAGUCCAAAAUGGGUGGUAAAUUUCAUCUAAAGCUAAAUAUUGGCGAGAGACUGAUAGCGAACAAGUACCGUGAGGGAAAGAUGAAAAGAACUUUGAGAAGAGAGUUAAACAGUACGUGAAAUUGUCAAAAGGGAAGCGUUUGACACCAGUGUUGUUUUCUCGAAAAUCAAUUAAAAAAAGUUGGAUUUUGUAUUGUUAAGACCCUAUCAGCUAACUGUACUCUUUUCUUGCUUUUUUUAAUGCACUUUUCGUUUAACAAGUCAACAUCAAUUUCUUUUGUUGUAAAAGAGCCAUUGGAAGGUGGCUUUCACUUCGGUGAAAGUGUUUAUAGCCUUUGGCUUCUGCAAUCGGAGAGAUUGAGGUCUGCAGCGUAGAUCCUUCGGGGCUAGAUACGUAGAUGCUAAGUUAUAAUUUUUUAUAGACAACUUGUUGACUAUAAUUAAUCAUGUAGCUUACUCGUUUGCGCUAUUUUACCUACGCUUAGGAUGUUGACGAUCAGCUGAGCGCGA
rnacentral:rRNA from 1 species